rnacentral:rRNA from 1 species
CUCAAAUUUGAAAUCUGGCCCUAGGCCCGAGUUGUAAUUUGCAGAGGAUGCUUUUGGCAAGGUGCCUUCCGAGUUCCCUGGAACGGGACGCCAUAGAGGGUGAGAGCCCCGUCUGGUCGGACACCGAGCCUCUGUAAAGCUCCUUCGACGAGUCGAGUAGUUUGGGAAUGCUGCUCAAAAUGGGAGGUAUAUGUCUUCUAAAGCUAAAUACCGGCCAGAGACCGAUAGCGCACAAGUAGAGUGAUCGAAAGAUGAAAAGCACUUUGAAAAGAGAGUUAAAUAGCACGUGAAAUUGUUGAAAGGGAAGCGUUUAUGACCAGACUUGGCCCGGUUGAUCAUCCAGCCUUCUGGCUGGUGCACUCUGCCGGUCCAGGCCAGCAUCAGUUCGCCGCGGGGGAUAAAGGUUUCGGGAAUGUAGCUCCUCCGGGAGUGUUAUAGCCCGUUGCGUAAUACCCUGCGGUGGACUGAGGUCCGCGCUCUGCAAGGAUGCUGGCGUAAUGGUCAUCAACGACCCGUCUUGAAACACGGACCAAGGAGUCGUCUUCGUAUGCGAGUG